rnacentral:rRNA from 1 species
AUUGAACGCUGGCGGCAGGCCUAACACAUGCCAGUCGAACGGUAACAGGAAACAGCUUGCUGUUUCGCUGACGAGUGGCGGACGGGUGAGUAAUGUCUGGGAAACUGCCUGAUGGAGGGGGAUAACUACUGGAAACGGUAGCUAAUACCGCAUAACGUCGCAAGACCAAAGAGGGGGACCCUCGGGCCUCUUGCCAUCGGAUGUGCCCAGAUGGGAUUAGCUUGUUGGUGGGGUAACGGCUCACCAAGGCGACGAUCCCUAGCCGGUCUGAGAGGAUGACCAGCCACACUGGAACUGAGACACGGUCCAGACUCCUACGGGAGGCAGCAGUGGGGAAUAUUGCACAAUGGGCGCAAGCCUGAUGCAGCCAUGCCGCGUGUAUGAAGAAGGCCUUCGGGUUGUAAAGUACUUUCAGCGGGGAGGAAGGGAGUAAAGUUAAUACCUUUGCUCAUUGACGUUACCCGCAGAAGAAGCACCGGCUAACUCCGUG